rnacentral:lncRNA from 1 species
GUGGAGCAACUGCCUCUAUGCCAGUCUAGCUUCAGUUUAGAUCCCUCUGUAGAGAUGGGGUUCCACUCUUCUUGUACAUGGAACCUUGAGAAGUUCUCUACUUCCUGAACUCAUCUCCUUCUAGAAGGUUCUAUAGACUGGAACUGUUAGCUCUGCAAAAGCCUAAUUCUACAAAGAUCAUCUCAUUUCCGUAGAAAAAAAUGGAGUCACUGCUGUAGCAUCAGGCAUCUUUGCUGGAUGUCAUCUUCCUGUGUCCGCACAUGCCUGGCACGUACUCACAUUCAGUCUUCAUA